GUUUGUACACUCAGUCCUUUUCUUUGUUCCCUGUGACCUGUGCUCUGCUGCUUUGGGGAAUGAUCUAACACUUCUCCUUAAUUGUGUGGGAAUAAUGUUCUUUUUGGCUUUCUGAAUUCUAAGAGGAGAUAGAGGUCACUUUUAUGCAUUUUACUGGAGCCAGAGCCUAACAAGGUCCCUCUGUGAGUUCAUCUCCUGCGGGAUUUCUUCCCUAAGGGUCCUGGAUAAUGGCAGUCUAACACAUCAUCCCAUAAGCCCACAGCAGGAAAGAGAUGGCACAGAAAACUGGGUCACCCAGGAGGGUUUAUGAGUCUAGCUUCAAAGAUGGGGGAGGUUAGAAAAACCCAUUUUCUAACGCAAAGGGCACAGGCAGCUGCUGCUUGCUUUAGGUAGCAAGGCCAAAGAGGAGCUUAUUGCUCAGAGCAGGCACAUGCGCUGUAGGGAGGCCUGACCAGUGAGCAGCUUUGCUCCUUAGCAAAGGCAAGGACAGAGAGGAUCGCAGUUAUUCUGCCAGCGAGGGCUACACACCACACGGAGCAUCCCACCCACUCAGACACACUCUUUUCCAGCACCGUGAAGUGUGUGCCACGACAGUGUGUCACAGUCAACCAGAGCCCAGGUAACCUAGUUUUAAAUGAUCCAUGGUUAAGAAAGAUUCUCAAGGGAAAUUAAAACAAAGACUGUGAACUGAGGAGAAAUGAAAAUACAUUGUAUCAAAUUCAGCCCCGGGGCUCGCAGCUAAAGCCUAGCUGGGAAGGAGAUUUACACCGGGAAAACCAGAAGGGAGACAAAAGAUCAAGUCUCUUAACUAGACUUCAAUCCAGAUAAGAAGGACCAAAUAAUAAACCCAAACAGAUCUGAAGAAGGAAAUCUAGGAAGUGAAAUUAAAAACAACGCAAGAAGUCUGCAACAGAACGGAGCCGGCCCUUUGAAAGGAUCAAUACGCAUCUUGCAGGGCUGAGAAAGGAGAGGACCAAACGCUAAUAAUAAUGGGAAUGGAAGAGACUCUGCGGCCGGCCGCAAGGGUGUGACCAAGGGACCCUGCAAAGCACCCACACCUGUAACACUGACAGCUUACAGAGAGGGACCGACUGUUGGAACUGCACAAAUUAGCAAAUACAUCUUCCACAAGAUACCGAUUUCAAAAGCUCCUUCCACUAUGAAAUGGAAUGAUUAAAAUGUACCAUCACCACUGCCUGGCAGUGGCCGUAAGCCUUUAAUCCCAGCACUUGGGAGGCAGAGGCAGGCAGAUCUCUGUGAGUUCGAAGCUAUCCUUGUCUUCAUAGUGAAUUCCAGGACAGUCAGACUAUGUAAGAGACGAUGCGUUUCAAAAGAAAUAAAUAAGUAAAUAAGUGAUCCACUUCUUGGGGCUGGAGACAUGGUUCAGGGGUUAAGAGUACUGUCUGGUCUUCCAAAGAUCUCAGGUUCAAUUCCCAGCACCCACAUGGCAGCUCACAACUGUCUGCAACUCCAGUUUCAAGGGACCUGUUGCCCUCACAGCAAUGCACAUACAAUAAAAUUAAAUAAAUUAUUAAAAUGUACCAUCAACAGAAACACAGCUCCUGCCUCAAGGGGAAGAGGAGACAGCUUAUUCUGGAGCUAAAUGUAAAUGGCCGUGACCCAGGAACACGAAGUUUACUCUGGAUACUACACAUUCCAGCACUGUAUCAGUCCUGUGAAGUUUUUACAGUAAUGGAACAAAGCAAAGCUUAAAUCAAGGCUCUUUAGAACACAUUUGUGGGAAUAUCAGAUAGACGGUUGGGGUGCGGGGGUUCAGCAAAGCAGGGAACCCCUGCCAUGGCCUUGACACUGUUUGAGGGCACUUAGCCUGUGGGUGGGUAGAAGGUAGGGGUCUGUUUGUAUGUUCCAGAAAGAUUUAACUAAUAGUCACAGGCUAUUAUAUCACACACAGAGGUGGCCAAUAAAUGGCUCUGAGGAGGCUAAGAUAACCCAGGAUAAUUUGGCUCUGGACCAGCAACAUUCCAACUCCCCCAGCUCAGAGGUGGCAAUGACUCAAUCAACCUGAUAGAAUCUUUACAUGGGUGUGGCUUUUUCUGGAACCCUCAGUUCAUGGCCCCUCUCUAUUCUCUCCCCCCCCCACCCCAAAGCCUAUUGUUAUUCCAGGCAUUUGAAGAGGAACUGGCACCAACCUUUACCCCCUUUUGCAAAAACGCAGAGGAGACAGAAGCCCUUCUCAAUUACUCUAUGAAUUAGUGUUGCUUCACAUCAGAGAGACAAUAAAUGUCCAUGUAGAAAUCCUUAGCUAAAGACUAGCAACACUUUUAUUGAUUCUCUGAGAGUUUCCCAUCAUGUACUCAAUCGCAAUCCCUCCCAUGUCCACCCUGCCUUGUGACUUCCCCCUACCCCC
rnacentral:lncRNA from 1 species